rnacentral:rRNA from 1 species
UGGGGAAUAUUGCACAAUGGGCGCAAGCCUGAUGCAGCCAUGCCGCGUGUGUGAAGAAGGCCUUCGGGUUGUAAAGCACUUUCAGCGGGGAGGAAGGCGGUGAGGUUAAUAACCUCAUCGAUUGACGUUACCCGCAGAAGAAGCACCGGCUAACUCCGUGCCAGCAGCCGCGGUAAUACGGAGGGUGCAAGCGUUAAUCGGAAUUACUGGGCGUAAAGCGCACGCAGGCGGUCUGUCAAGUCGGAUGUGAAAUCCCCGGGCUCAACCUGGGAGCUGCAUUCGAAACUGACAGGCUAGAGUCUUGUAGAGGGGGGUAGAAUUCCAGGUGUAGCGGUGAAAUGCGUCGAGAUCUGGAGGAAUACCGGUGGCGAAGGCGGCCCCCUGGACAAAGACUGACGCUUAGGUGCGAAAGCGUGGGGAGCAAACGGG